CCGGGCCGAACUCGGGGCCGCACACACUGGACGGACUCGCCCCGGCUUGGCCCCGGGUCGCCCCGCGGGGGCAGGGGACACAGGCGGCCGCACUCACCCGGCAACGCCUCCUCCCCCGCCGGCGGCAGCAGCACAGCCGAAGGCCCCGGACACCAUCUUCUGCCGCCGCCUUGUCCUCGGCGGCGGCUACCAACCGCCCAUUCGGCGCCGCCAAACGACACCACGGCCGUUCCGGCGCCGGCCCCGAGCUCCGGGAGGGAAGCUACCUGGCCCACGCCAGGCCGACCCCGCAGCACUUUGGACCAGCCUCGGACGAACAGAGCGAGUCGCCCGCAGUCUGUCGCGCAGCAGCCUGCUGUCCUGAGCCUGGUGUCUACUCGCCUGCCCCGGGGACUGGGGGACCGUGCCAGGAUCUGUGACAGGGUACUGCCCGCGAGGACUGGGGCCCGAUCGGGCACCUUGAGAAGAGUCCUUGCAAGAUUGCCCCUCCUCCGCGCGCACACACACAUCCGCCGGGACCCCAGCUAACAAGUUUCCUGAAAUUCUGCAAGGUGGGGCAGCUCAAAUAGUAUCAAACCAGGUAAGGCAAAGAAAACAUACACAGAGGAGAGCUAAGAUUUCACCGAUUGAAAUGAAGAUUUAAGUGCCAACUUUCAGCUUGAUAACAUGAGCUCCCUGCUGGGUUAGGAUGGCUACCCCAGUCGGAAAAAAACAAUUUCAAGGGAAUUACGAAAUUGUGAAUAUGCGACUUAAGCUCCUGAGGCUUGUUGAGUGUUACAAUCUGAUGAACAGAAGGUACACUUAGAAAAAUUGUGUAAUACUUUUUUUAACUGGUAUAUCCAGAAAUAUCUAGUAUGAUUGAAAGCUUUCAGGUGUAACCUCACCUGGGAGCUGUGUUUGAAUAGAAAUAAAAUGAAUAGUCUCACCGUUUUAAAGGGCACCAAAACAGAACAAACCCUAUUAGGGAGCUGAGUUAGCAGGACUUCAUUUGUUAUGAUCAACAAUGACUAAAAAAAAAAAAGGCUAAUAAACAUUAACGAUUUUCAUUUUCCAACAGCCUGACCCAGUAAGGUUGUGCUUGAGACAGGCUUGCUGUUUUCACCACUUCAUUUAUUUUUAAAUUUUUGCACUACUACAUAUCUGAGAACUUGUCUCUGAAUCAUUGGAAAGAUCAUUGGGAAGUCAUUCUCAUUGUUGACUUAUUUUGAAAGCUGACCUUUUCUUACACCACAUCAAUAUGAUACACGAGAGAAGUUAAAAUUAAAGCCCUAAAUUGUCAUUAUACCUUGGGGAAAGAUGUGAACCAGAAAUACUAAAGAAAGGAACUGAUUCUGUUAGGCACAUAAUUAUCAGCUCUCAGAAAAUAAGUGGUGAGGACGAAUUUCGCCAGAGCAUUGGUAAGAACAGAAUUAGAUCUCUAAAGAACAUAUUGGUGCUUGAACUUCCUCUUAUCAAUGACAAAAGUCAUUGAAAAUACAAAUACUAUCCAACUUAGCAUGUAAAAUCUUUGGAAUAAAAUCUUUGGAAUAAAAAUAAAGUUUUAAAC
rnacentral:lncRNA from 1 species